rnacentral:rRNA from 1 species
UACGGGGGGGGCAAGCGUUGUUCGGAAUUACUGGGCGUAAAGGGCUCGUAGGUGGCCAACUAAGUCAGACGUGAAAUCCCUCGGCUUAACCGGGGAACUGCGUCUGAUACUGGAUGGCUAGAGAUUGGGAGAGGGAUGCGGAAUUCCAGGUGUAGCGGUGAAAUGCGUAGAUAUCUGGAGGAACACCGGUGGCGAAGGCGGCGUCCUGGACCAACACUGACACUGAUGAGCGAAAGCGUGGGGAGCGAACAGG